rnacentral:rRNA from 1 species
UACGGAGGGUGCAAGCGUUAUCCGGAUUCACUGGGUUUAAAGGGUGCGUAGGUGGGUAGGUAAGUCAGUGGUGAAAUCUUCAAGCUUAACUUGGAAACUGCCAUUGAUACUAUUUAUCUUGAAUACUUUGGAGGUAAGCGGAAUAUGUCAUGUAGCGGUGAAAUGCUUAGAUAUGACAUAGAACACCAAUUGCGAAGGCAGCUUACUACACAGUAAUUGACACUGAGGCACGAAAGCGUGGGGAUCAAACAGG